UACGAAGGGUGCAAGCGUUACUCGGAAUUACUGGGCGUAAAGGGUGCGUAGGUGGUUUGUUAAGUCUGCUGUGAAAUCCCCGGGCUCAACCUGGGAAUGGCAGUGGAUACUGGCAAGCUAGAGUGCGGUAGAGGGUAGUGGAAUUCCCGGUGUAGCAGUGAAAUGCGUAGAGAUCUGGAGGAAUACCGGUGGCGAAGGCGGCCCCCUGGACAAAGACUGACGCUCAGGUGCGAAAGCGUGGGGAGCAAACAGG
rnacentral:rRNA from 1 species